rnacentral:rRNA from 1 species
AAAGAAACCACAGGGAUUGCCCCAGUAACGGCGAGUGAAGCGGCAACAGCUCAAAUUUGAAAUCUGGCUUCGGCCCGAGUUGUAAUUUGCAGAGGAAGCUUUAGGCGCGGCACCAUCUGAGUCCCCUGGAACGGGGCGCCACAGAGGGUGAGAGCCCCGUAUAGAUGGACGCCUAGCCUGUGUAAAGCUCCUUCGACGAGUCGAGUAGUUUGGGAAUGCUGCUCUAAAUGGGAGGUAAAUUUCUUCUAAAGCUAAAUACCGGCCAGAGACCGAUAGCGCACAAGUAGAGUGAUCGAAAGAUGAAAAGCACUUUGAAAAGAGGGUUAAAUAGCACGUGAAAUUGUUGAAAGGGAAGCGCUUGUGACCAGACUUGCGCCGGGCGGAUCAUCCGGUGUUCUCACCGGUGCACUCCGCCCGGCUCAGGCCAGCAUCGGUUCUCGUGGGGGGACAAAGGUCCCGGGAACGUAGCUCCUCCGGGAGUGUUAUAGCCWGGGGCGUAAUGCCCUCGCGGGGACCGAGGACCGCGCUUCGGCAAGGAUGCUGGCGUAAUGGUCAUCAGCGACCCGUCUUGAAACACGGACCAAGGAGUCAAGGUUUUGCGCGAGUGUUUGGGUGUAAAACCCGCACGCGUAAUGAAAGUGAACGUAGGUGAGAGCUUCGGCGCAUCAUCGACCGAUCCUGAUGUUUUCGGAUGGAUUUGAGUAGGAGCGUUAAGCCUUGGACCCGAAAGAUGGUGAACUAUGCUUGGAUAGGGUGAAGCCAGAGGAAACUCUGGUGGAGGCUCGCAGCGGUUCUGACGUGCAAAUCGAUCGUCAAAUCUGAGCAUGGGGCGAAAGACUAAUC